CGAGUGAAGCGGCAAGAGCUCAAAUUUGAAAUCUGGCCCCCUCGGGGUCCGAGUUGUAAUUUGCAGAGGAUGCUUCGGGUGCGGCCCCCGUCUAAGUGCCCUGGAACGGGCCGUCAUAGAGGGUGAGAAUCCCGUCUGGGACGGGGUGUCCGCGUCCGUGUGAAGCUCCUUCGACGAGUCGAGUUGUUUGGGAAUGCAGCUCUAAAUGGGUGGUAAAUUUCAUCUAAAGCUAAAUACUGGCCGGAGACCGAUAGCGCACAAGUAGAGUGAUCGAAAGAUGAAAAGCACUUUGAAAAGAGAGUUAAAAAGCACGUGAAAUUGUUGAAAGGGAAGCGCUUGCGACCAGACUCGCCCGCGGGGUUCAGCCGGCAUUCGUGCCGGUGUACUUCCCCGCGGGCGGGCCAGCGUCGGUUUGGGCGGCCGGUCAAAGGCCCCCGGAAUGUAGCACCCUUCGGGGUGCCUUAUAGCCGGGGGUGCAAUGCGGCCAGCCUGGACCGAGGAACGCGCUUCGGCACGGACGCUGGCAUAAUGGUCGUAAACGACCCGUCUUGAAACACGGACCAAGGAGUCUAACAUCUACGCGAGUGUUCGGGUGUCAAACCCGUGCGCGCAGUGAAAGCGAACGGAGGUGGGAGCCCCCCCGCGGGGCGCACCAUCGACCGAUCCUGAUGUCUUCGGAUGGAUUUGAGUAAGAGCGUAAAUGUGGGGACCCGAAAGAUGGUGAACUAUGCCUGAAUAGGGCGAAGCCAGAGGAAACUCUGGUGGAGGCUCGCAGCGGUUCUGACGUGCAAAUCGAUCGUCAAAUUUGGGUAUAGGGGCGAAAGACUAAUCGAACCAUCUGGUAGCUGGUUCCUGCCGAAGUUUCCCUCAGGAUAGCAGUAGCGCGGAUCAGUUUUAUGAGGUAAAGCGAAUGAUUAGAGGCAUUGGGGUUGAAACAACCUUAACCUAUUCUCAAACUUUAAAUAUGUAAGAAGCCCUUGUUGCUUAGUUGAACGUGGGCAUUAGAAUGAAGCGCUAUUAGUGGGCCAUUUUUGGUAAGCAGAACUGGCGAUGCGGGAUGAACCGAACGCGAGGUUAAGGUGCCGGAAUGCACGCUCAUCAGACACCACAAAAGGUGUUAGUUCAUCUAGACAGCCCGACGGUGGCCAUGGAAGUCGGAAUCCGCUAAGGAGUGU
rnacentral:rRNA from 1 species